rfam:Schistosoma rodhaini strain Burundi genome assembly, scaffold: SROB_contig0005654
AUCCAGCUGACGAGUCCCAAAUAGGACGAAACGCGCGUCGUGGCCGGAU